rnacentral:rRNA from 1 species
UUAAGCGACUAAGCGUACACGGUGGAUGCCCUGGCAGUCAGAGGCGAUGAAGGACGUGCUAAUCUGCGAAAAGCGCCGGCGAGGUGAUAUGAACCUUUGACCCGGCGAUGUCCGAAUGGGGAAACCCAGUGCAAUUCGUUGCACUAUCGUUAACUGAAUACAUAGGUUAACGAGGCGAACCGGGGGAACUGAAACAUCUAAGUACCCCGAGGAAAAGAAAUCAACCGAGAUUCCCCCAGUAGCGGCGAGCGAACGGGGAGCAGCCCAGAGUCUGAAUCAGCUUGUGUGUUAGUGGAAGCGUCUGGAAAGUCGCACGGUACAGGGUGAUAGUCCCGUACACGAAAACACACAGGUUGUGAACUCGAAGAGUAGGGCGGGACACGUGGUAUCCUGUCUGAAUAUGGGGGGACCAUCCUCCAAGGCUAAAUACUCCUGACUGACCGAUAGUGAACCAGUACCGUGAGGGAAAGGCGAAAAGAACCCCGGCGAGGGGAGUGAAAAAGAACCUGAAACCGUGUACGUACAAGCAGUGGGAGCACCUUCGUGGUGUGACUGCGUACCUUUUGUAUAAUGGGUCAGCGACUUAUAUUCUGUAGCAAGGUUAACCGUAUAGGGGAGCCGAAGGGAAACCGAGUCUUAACUGGGCGUUAAGUUGCAGGGUAUAGACCCGAAACCCGGUGAUCUAGCCAUGGGCAGGUUGAAGGUUGGGUAACACUAACUGGAGGACCGAACCGACUAAUGUUGAAAAAUUAGCGGAUGACUUGUGGCUGGGGGUGAAAGGCCAAUCAAACCGGGAGAUAGCUGGUUCUCCCCGAAAGCUAUUUAGGUAGCGCCUCGUGAACUCAUCUUCGGGGGUAGAGCACUGUUUCGGCUAGGGGGCCAUCCCGGCUUACCAACCCGAUGCAAACUACGAAUACCGAAGAAUGUUAUCACGGGAGACACACGGCGGGUGCUAACGUCCGUCGUGAAGAGGGAAACAACCCAGACCGCCAGCUAAGGUCCCAAAGUCAUGGUUAAGUGGGAAACGAUGUGGGAAGGCACAGACAGCCAGGAUGUUGGCUUAGAAGCAGCCAUCAUUUAAAGAAAGCGUAAUAGCUCACUGGUCGAGUCGGCCUGCGCGGAAGAUGUAACGGGGCUAAACCAUGCACCGAAGCUGCGGCAGCGACACUUAGGUGUUGUUGGGUAGGGGAGCGUUCUGUAAGCCGUUGAAGGUGUGCUGUGAGGCAUGCUGGAGGUAUCAGAAGUGCGAAUGCUGACAUAAGUAACGAUAAAGCGGGUGAAAAGCCCGCUCGCCGGAAGACCAAGGGUUCCUGUCCAACGUUAAUCGGGGCAGGGUGAGUCGACCCCUAAGGCGAGGCCGAAAGGCGUAGUCGAUGGGAAACAGGUUAAUAUUCCUGUACUUGGUGUUACUGCGAAGGGGGGACGGAGAAGGCUAUGUUAGCCGGGCGACGGUUGUCCCGGUUUAAGCAUGUAGGCGGAGGUUCCAGGUAAAUCCGGUACCUUAUUAACGCUGAGGUGUGAUGACGAGGCACUACGGUGCUGAAGUAACAAAUGCCCUGCUUCCAGGAAAAGCCUCUAAGCAUCAGGUAACAUCAAAUCGUACCCCAAACCGACACAGGUGGUCAGGUAGAGAAUACCAAGGCGCUUGAGAGAACUCGGGUGAAGGAACUAGGCAAAAUGGUGCCGUAACUUCGGGAGAAGGCACGCUGAUAUGUAGGUGAAGCCCCUGCGGGUGGAGCUGAAAUCAGUCGAAGAUACCAGCUGGCUGCAACUGUUUAUUAAAAACACAGCACUGUGCAAACACGAAAGUGGACGUAUACGGUGUGACGCCUGCCCGGUGCCGGAAGGUUAAUUGAUGGGGUUAGCGGUAACGCGAAGCUCUUGAUCGAAGCCCCGGUAAACGGCGGCCGUAACUAUAACGGUCCUAAGGUAGCGAAAUUCCUUGUCGGGUAAGUUCCGACCUGCACGAAUGGCGUAAUGAUGGCCAGGCUGUCUCCACCCGAGACUCAGUGAAAUUGAACUCGCUGUGAAGAUGCAGUGUACCCGCGGCAAGACGGAAAGACCCCGUGAACCUUUACUAUAGCUUGACACUGAACACUGGUCCUUGAUGUGUAGGAUAGGUGGGAGGCUUUGAAGCGUGGACGCCAGUCUGCGUGGAGCCGUCCUUGAAAUACCACCCUUUAAUGGCUGGUGUUCUAACGUAGACCCGUAAUCCGGGUUGCGGACAGUGUCUGGUGGGUAGUUUGACUGGGGCGGUCUCCUCCCAAAGAGUAACGGAGGAGCACGAAGGUUAGCUAAUCCUGGUCGGACAUCAGGAGGUUAGUGCAAUGGCAUAAGCUAGCUUGACUGCGAGAGUGACGGCUCGAGCAGGUGCGAAAGCAGGUCAUAGUGAUCCGGUGGUUCUGAAUGGAAGGGCCAUCGCUCAACGGAUAAAAGGUACUCCGGGGAUAACAGGCUGAUACCGCCCAAGAGUUCAUAUCGACGGCGGUGUUUGGCACCUCGAUGUCGGCUCAUCACAUCCUGGGGCUGAAGUAGGUCCCAAGGGUAUGGCUGUUCGCCAUUUAAAGUGGUACGCGAGCUGGGUUUAGAACGUCGUGAGACAGUUCGGUCCCUAUCUGCCGUGGGCGCUGGAGAAUUGAGGGGGGCUGCUCCUAGUACGAGAGGACCGGAGUGGACGCAUCACUGGUGUUCGGGUUGUCAUGCCAAUGGCACUGCCCGGUAGCUAAAUGCGGAAAAGAUAAGUGCUGAAAGCAUCUAAGCACGAAACUUGCCCCGAGAUGAGUUCUCCCUGA